rnacentral:lncRNA from 1 species
GUGGCAGCGACGGUGGCUGGUCUCCUUCUCCAACGUCUAGUUCACUUCCCCACCGCCUUUCUUAUUCUUCUCUAGUCACUCCUCUGUCGACUAGGGUUUUGGUUCCUUGUAAAUAGGAGUUUAAAUACUCCUCUUCAUUAGAUUGAAGUCGUUCGUUUGAGAUGACGUGACACAUCCAUAACCGUUGGAUUUCUCUUAUUU